CGCCUCACAGUUACUGUAAACUCGAGUCAGGACCUGCAGCAAUGGCAUCACUACAACAUGAGGAAGAAGUCCAGCGCAGAUCAAACACAAACACAAGGGGAUGACGCAUAAAAACAAACUUCUUGUUGAUGUUUUGAACCUCACUUUGAGAAGCGAAACAGUCAGUACCAGGAAGAACUGGUGUGUCUUAGGUUCAUGCUAA
rnacentral:lncRNA from 1 species